rnacentral:lncRNA from 1 species
CUUACUCAGUGUUUUGAUUGUCCUCUAAGUUGUCAGUUCUGACAAAGGAAAAAGGCAGCUGGAAAUGAGAGGAAACAAAAGCAGAUCCUGUCUUAGCUCACAGUCAUUAGAAUGAAAGGAAUGAAUCCUGCAAGGGAAAGCAGAGCUCUGCUCUUGCCUCACAGGCUGCUGAGGGUUGAAAUCCAUAUAGAGCAAACUAAAGCAAGAAGUUGUAGGAGGAGAAUCCAUAGCUCUGCAGAUGGCUGGAGAGAAA